rnacentral:rRNA from 1 species
UACGGAAGGGGCAAGCGUUGUUCGGAAUCAUUGGGCGUAAAGGGCGCGUAGGUGGCUCUGUAUGUCUGCCGUGAAAGCAUACAGCUCAACUGUAUUGUGUCGGUAGAAACUGCAGGACUUGAGGCUGGGAGGGGCUGGUGGAAUUCCCUGUGUAGCGGUGAAAUGCGUAGAGAUGGGGGAGAACACGCGUGGCGAAGGCGGCCAGCUAGACCAGUUCUGACACUGAGGCGCGACAGCGUGGGGAGCAAACAGG